GAGCAAGUUUCAAAAGUUGUCUGAGCUGGAGCGACAUGACAGUCUGAUGAGGCAGGUCUUACAACUUACCAUCUUACUUCUGCUUCAACUUGAUUAUUCACAUGGUGAGGAAUGGGACCCCGAAAACACACCGGAUUUGUUUGUGACUGCCAACACGUUUGACCUGAUCGGGUUUGUGGGGGGCGGAGUUACAAUGUACGCCACUGUGAGGGGAGACCCUCGCCCCACCGCAGAUGACAUAACCUGGAUAAAGAUGCAAGGAAACAUGCCCGAGGAUCGAAUACUGAUAACAUACGAUCUCAAAACAAACGAGUCUAGAAUCCGUAUAAAUGAGCUGGAGUAUGACGAUGCUGGAACCUACUAUUGUACUGCCAUGAUAAACGGGGUCAGCAAGAGCGUCAGCAUGACAUUGAACGUCGUCGUGGAACCGGAGAUAUUUAGAGUAACAGGACUGAUGACUUUUAAAGCAGUUGGUCAGAGUGUAAUUCUGAGUGUCACUGUGAACGGCAACCCCAUUCCCGCUGCUGAAGACAUUACCUGGGCCAAGAUGGACAGCAGGAGUAUACCAAUGCCGCUGUCACAUGAUAGAUUUGAGCUUAAUAACGGCAACAAAGAGCUCACGAUAACUGAUCUAGAGAUUGCAGACGAGGGCUGGUACAAAUGUCUCGUAAAAACUGACGAGGGAAAAGCGGAAGCUCCUUUCUUGUUGCAUGUUCUAGGAAUGAGAAGUAUCGAGGAAAGUGCAGUAGGUGUGGUGGGGAACUCAGUGAGUAUGUCCUGUGCCGCUACCUAUGUGGAGAACGUUUACCCGGGAACCAAAACCACCAUCAACUGGUACCGGUACGAGGCUCCUGACAUACCGCUAGCAGGAUCAACGAUGGAGUCUGAGGAAUCUUCGACUCAAGCGUCCACAAGCGUGCUAACCCUGACUGAUCUGGACUGGACCGACGAGGGAGAAUACUUCUGUACCUCGUCCUACCCAGGGUUUCCUGAUGAUAGCCUCUACAACGCCACCCUCAACAUCAGAGGUUUGAACAGUAUAUCAGGCACCGAAGUGGAGGGUGUAUUGGGAAACCAGCUAACUAUGACAUGUGUUGCUAGAGGAGAUAUACAGGCUACAAUAACAUGGAACCACAACGACACGACCACGCGUGCGGGGGUAACCACCGAGACAACCUACAGUGCACCCUACACAACAAGUGUUCUGACGCUGCCAGUACCUGCCCUCUUUGAUCAGGGAGUCUAUGAGUGUUCUAUCGAGUUCGACGAGCAAACCUCGACCAUAACAGGCUCUACUCAACUUAAUUUGAACUACGUAUGGAGGACGUCCGGAGCUGCUCUAGGAGUGGAGGACAAUUCCGCAACAAUCACGUGUUCUGGUAUUGGAAACAUUGCUCCUGAUUCCUGGACAUGGAAUGAUCCCAACACGACGGACAGUUCCCAGUGGAGUACGCUGCAAACGUCAGCAGAUAGAAAAGACUCCAGUGUAUUCUGGACGGUGAACAGGUUCGACGCGGGCUCGUACACGUGCACAGCGCACUACGAAGCUAGAGGAACCAGUACUGGAGAGGUAGAUCUCACUGUUCAGUACAUCAAAACCAGCCCCCUCGAUCAGACUGCAGUGCACGGAACUGACUCUACUCUAACUUGUGUCGCUAACUUGGCUCCUGAUUCUUUCAAAUGGUUCAAAGAGACAACUGAAAUGGAUACCCCCACUACCUCCUCCCCAAACCCUACAACCUCCCUCCUGGUCCUCUCUCCAGUUGACUUCGAGCAUGCAGGAUCGUACAACUGUGAGGCUGUGUUCUCGGGCAAAUCAGCUAAAAGUCUAACGUCCACAUUCUUUGUACGGGGCUUCAAGGUUCAUCCUGAAGACACGACGACUGUAAACAUGACAUCUGCGACCCUGUCUUGUCUUGCUAUCGGAGAGAGUGCUCCUCUACUGAGCUGGUACCGGGGUACCACCAAGCUGGAUCAUGGUCCUACUGUCAGCAUGUCUUCCAAAGCUUUCGGAUACGAGGCGAGCAGUAAUCUGACAAUCUCCCUCCUCUCUGCAACAACUGACGAUUAUCACUGUUCUGCUCGGUACGAUGACGUCACAGUGACGUCAUCCUCCGCAACCAUCCGAGUGCUGGGGGUUAAGAGCGCUCCGAAGGACAGUACCGGAGUUAUAGGGAACGACGUGGUGCUGGAGUGUGACCCAACUGAACAGACGGGAGUUAUCACCUGGCUUCACAACGGAACUGACAUCACGGGUACCUCCUCAAUCACAGUAACAGAAGGAGUAUCUGUUCUACACCUCGACAGUGUGACUUGGAUCACUGCUGGAGUGUACCAAUGUGUUGUGGACUACGCUGACUACGCUAACCCCACCUACGCUGCUCAACCUGCUACUCUCAGUGUUAGAGGAGUCACGCAGUCCCCAGAAAGUGUUAUAACAGAGGAGGGUUCGGACGUUACCCUGACUUGUCUGACUACGGGACCUCCUAGUCCUACCAUAACUUGGUACAAGACUGGGGGCCAGGACUUGGGCCAGGGCUCACUUCUUAACGAUUACAAGAGCCUAUUAGUCCUGUCAUCAGUGGAUUUGACUACAACAGACGACUACAAGUGUGUUGCUGACUACAAUGACCUGGGAACUCAUCAGAGUGAGAUAGCUUCCCUGAUCGUUAGAGGCAUCCAAAGCCACCCGGUAGCGACAACAGCCGUGAAGACUAACACUGCUCGUUUUACCUGUGUUAUUCGCGGCGACAAGGCCCCAUCCAGUAUCACUUGGUCGCGUGACGACGAGGCAGUUGACAUGACAACAGCAAGUGUUGCCACGACGACAAGUGGUGACGACACAACGACGGUGUUAACUCUGACUAAUGUGAUGACCACUGGGAAAUACAAAUGCUCUGCUCAGUUCGAGAGUCCUGUUGGGGGAGUUGUGUCAGGCUCUGCUGAUUUGACUGUUUUAGAGUACACAGCAGUGCCCCAAGACACAGACACAGUCCUAGGAUACGCCCUGACCUUCACCUGCAAGGUUCACGACAACCCAGCCAGUCUCAAGUUCUACCAUAACGGCACGGAGUCUGUCUCCGGGGUCACAACCAACAACAACGUGGCUACUCUCAUUGUGGAGGAAGUGGGGUUGAGCUCGGCUGGGGAAUACUACUGUGAAGUGGAUUAUUCUCCUUCACUGGACACGCUAGGGGGGAAUCUCGAUAGUUCGGUUGCCAUCGUAACUGUCAGCUCCUUUAUUUACGAGCCAGAGGAUGUAUACGUUAAAGCGGGAAAUAGUGCGGACAUGAGUUGCAGAACAACGAGCUUCAUUCAACCUAUCUUCACUUGGAAAACAGGACCUGUGGUAACAAACGACGGAGCAAUAUCUGUUGCUAACUGGGACGCAACGACACUGAACGACGAAGGUCCCUACUGGUGCGACGCCAAGUUCGGGGAUGUUGGAACACUAACAUCUUCCACCGCCGUUCUUUAUAUCCGAGCUAUCAAGACUCCACCGACCGAGAGAAUGGUGGUUCUAGGACAUGACGCCGCGCUCACGUGCGAGGUUCACGGCAAGGGCUUGAUGUUGGUCACGUGGCUCAAUGACGAGGAAGAGGUAAAAGUGGACUCUGUGCCGACGGCAACAACUCUUGUAACCAGCGUGUUGGAACUAACCGAAGUGACUGAAAAUAAGAACUACAGCUGCAAAGCCACUUUUGCUGAUCCAGAUGAUGAAAUCUUAUCGGAUUUGACUCUCGUUUACGUGGACCAGAUAAAAAGCGUAACGAGCUCGGUAACUCUAGUCUCAGGACAAUCUGCUACUUUGACUUGUACCGCUGAUCAGGACCCGACCUUCUCGUGGUCCUACGUGGAUACUGGAGACAUUAUCAGCGAUAACAUCGUCAAUACUCCUGGGAGUUCGGAGCUGAUAUUGCCAGGGGUAACGACAAACACCUCGGUACAAUGUCACGUGGUGUACCCAGAGACUCCUGGAUACACUCUCGGUGGCAGCCUGACCUCAAACUCAGUACCGGUUAUUGUUAACGACAUUUCCAUUCAUCCCAAAAAUAGGACUGUUGUUAUUGGUUAUGCCACAACGCUGUACUGUGCGGGAAACAACGAGCCUGCUAUCUCCUGGUACAAAGACACCACCCUGAUCAGCAGUGCCUCACCUCUGGUUAUAGAGUCAGCUCAGACUUCUGAUCAGACAUCUUACUACUGCUCUCUUACUUGGGAACAGGGUUCGCUAACUACUGAUAAAGUGAGGGUAACAGUGCUGGAUAUCCUAGUGCACCCCAUGUCCGGAAUAGCAGUAGAUGGAGGUAACACUUCAGCUAGUUGUUCCGCUCCUGCUCCUGCUACUUUCCUCUGGUACAAUAACGACGUGAAAGUGGACCCGGACUCUGAUGCACGAUACACCAUCACCUCCACCACCAGCUCUGAUACCUCCAACACCCUGCUGACCAUCACUAACGCUACCCCUGACACCGAUGGUAGUUACGCGUGUGAAGCCGAGUAUCAACCGGAUCUGAGUGUAGAGUUUGUGGGAGGGAAAGUGAGGAGUAACUCUGCUACCCUUACUGUUUACAGAAUAAUAGGACACCCUGAAGACAAAUUUGUUUUACUUGAGAACAACAUAACGUUGUCAUGCCAACUGAACGACAGCGCUGCCAUCACGUGGUACCACAACGACAGUCCUAUUGGCCCCGGAGUUACUUCCACUCAGGGUAAAACCAUAACGAGCGAGUUUGCCCUGUCUAAAGUGGAUUGGGACGAUGCUGGGUUCUACUACUGUGAGGGUUCUUACUCUCAGGGAAAGAUCACUUCUACCCCAGCUAAAGUAUUUGUUAGAGGUAUUUGGGAGGCCCCAGAGCCGGUAUUAGUGGUCCUGGACUACCCAGCAACAUUCCAAUGUGUGUCACGUGGAGAAGCUGAGAUCACGUGGUCUUAUGGUGAGGUGGAGAUGGCGAGCAGUAGUUCUGAGUACGGGGAAAGCAACUGGUUAACCAUUGCUUCUUUGACAAUCGAUCCGAUAUCAGUACGAGAUCCCGCGCUAGUAACGUGUCAUGUAGACUACACCUCUUCCGAUCCUAUGUCCAUCAUUUCUGAGGCACAGUCCAUCACUGUAUUCAGUGUAACAGAAGACCCUGUAGACACAGUCGGUAUCAAGACAAACGACGCGACUAUGUCGUGCGUUGCUAGUGGCAACCCGACUGUCACGUGGCAGAAAGACGGAGCUGCAGCACCGGAUCUAAAGACAGAGUUAACAGCUGGUGACAACAGUGUUACCUCACAGUUGUUCAUCACUGAUAUAAAGAUGUCGGAUGCGGGGCAGUACAAAUGUGUUGCGGACUACGGUGGUUUAGGAGAACACGACUCACAACCAGCAACUCUUACAGUAUAUGAGCUCACUAAAGAACCCAUUGAGCAAGCGAUAGAGAAAAGUAGACAGGGGGAGUUUAUAUGUGAGAGUAACGGUGUUCCUGAUUCAGUAAACUGGUACAAGGAUGGAGAUAUUAUCACCGAUCUUACCGACAUCAGUACUGUGAGCGCAAAGUCUACCCUAACACUGCCAAGUUUGGAGUUCCCUGACAAGGGUAACUACAAGUGUGAGUUUGUGUUCCAACAGGGUCGUAUCAGCUCCAGCGAGGCUUAUCUUAGUGUCCGAGGUUUCUACGUGGAGCCCACAGACAGUGUAGGUAUCCAGGAUAACUCUGUAACCUUCACCUGCAUCCUUCACGGAGAAUCAGACGCAGCUAUCACAUGGCAAAACCGUGACACAGCGAUGGAGAGCCUGUCCAGUAUUGUAAUUAUUGACACAACCUAUACGGCUCCCAACACCACCUCCAUCCUCACUCUGAACAGCCUGCAACAUGGUGUUUAUGAUGACUCCAGUAUCACGUGUACUGCUGAUUUCAGUAGUCCUGAUCUCAGUCUAACGAGUAGGGUUGGAAAGCUGACAGUACUAAGAAUCCUGUUAGCUCCAGUAGAUACUGCAGCUGUAAGCUCCCUCACCGCAACUCUUACCUGUAAAGUCGACUCUUCCGGUGUAAUGUCGUGGUACAACGGAGAUGAACUAAUGGAAGGAGAGAGCUCCUCGACCCUGGUAUUUGAACCUGUGACUGAUCUGGAUCAGGGACAGUACCGGUGUAGGUCCACAUUCCCUACUGUCGGUCAGUUUGUUUACGGGGGUGUAACGAGCUCUGCCGAGGUCACUCUCACUGUCCAUCGAUUCACGACUGAGCCAGUGACGAGACACGUGACACUGGGAAGCAGCACUUCUCUCAAUUGUGAGGGUAGUGGGGACCCAGAGAUAGUCUGGUUCAAAGGUACAGAUGAAGUUCAACGAGGCAGCUCAGCAGACCUGAACCUGUCUGAUGUUACCUUCACUGAUGAUGAGGAGUACACGUGCACACUUGUGUAUCCACAGGGCGAGAUCUCCUCUGCUCCAGUUGAUAUCCACGUUAGAGGUGUUUCCACCUCGCCCUCACAAGGGACAGCUGUGCUGGGCCAGAGUGUGAUGUUCCAGUGUAUGGCUACUGGAGACAUCCAGCCAACAUUCAAGUGGACUCGUAAUGGAGAUGAUAUUAAUGGAGAAUCUGAAAACGUGUUUGAGUCGCUGUUGACCACCACAACUUUCUCAUACGCGGGAGUAGUAGAGGAUGACACCACAGCGGAGUUUAGAUGUAUCGCUGAUUUCCAGGGACAAACUCACCAAUCUGAACCUGCUUCCGUCACCGUACUAAAAGUGACCACACCCCCUGUGGGAGUUUACGGAGUGGUAGGAGGAGCAGCCUCCUUCUCCUGUGUAGCUGCUGGGAACCCCAACCCUACUGAGUUCAGCUGGUUACUGGGCGGAGUUGUAGUGGGAGUCGAGGACACUGUUACCAACCCGUCAGACUCCACUGUCAUGAGCAAGAUAACAGUAAGCGACCUGUCACGUGAAGAUCACGGAGAUUACACGUGUGUACCCGACUAUCCUGCUGAACUUGAUAAUCUCUUCUUGGGUGGUACCACUGAGUCUUCUCCUGGAAAACUCUCUGUUAUUGGUCUGACAGAACCGCCAGUUCAAACGAUUGUAAAGGUUGGAGAUACGGCAACCUUUACUUGCAAAGCUAACUCCGAACCUGUCCCCACCCUCUCUUGGUUCAAAUCCGGUUCUACUAUUACCUCCGGAGUCUCCGCCCCGGAGACAGUAGGUGACGAAGUAGUGUCCUACCUAGCUAUCAGCAACGUAGGAGACAGUGAUGUAGCUCCCUACUCCUGUAAAGCAGACUACCCCUCUCUGGCUUCCCAUCUUUCUGAGGACGCUUUCCUCAGAUUCAGAGGGAUCGAGGAGUUGCCACUGGUGACCCCGGCAGUUAUUGGGAAGCCUAACGAGAUGAACUGUACAGCUAGGGGAGAAGCGGAGGCGGAGAUGAAGUGGCUUGCUAAUGGGACUGAGAUUACAGUUUCAGAAGUCUACAGUAUAUUUGUUGCUUCUAACUAUUCCAGUGACCCGGCAAAGCAGCAAGAUCUAAUAGACACACGGACAAUCCUGACAGUCUCCACUGUUACACUCCCAAUCGCAUUCCUGGAGAUCACGUGCUCUGCCACCUGGGAGGGCUCGGACGGACAAGCUUCCGAGGUGGUCAGUGAUCCUGUUAACUUCGACCCUCUUUACGUGUACAAAUCACCGAUAGACACGAUAGCAGUCCGGUACACGACGGUGGAGUUGUCCUGCUCCGCUACCCGGACACCUCUAAUCCGGUGGGACAGAUCCGGCCGGACUUACGGAGUAGGAAUAAUAGACAUAGAUGGAAAAGAGAGAACCCACUCCACGCUGCGUAUAGGAAACGUGACUGAGGCAGACCAGGGUAACAUCUGGUGUGUAGCUGAGUAUGACGGGGGAAUGCACGACUCUGAUAAAGCACAACUUACUGUUGUUGGUAUACGGAGUGAACCCCGGACACAGAUAUUAUUACAGCGGGGACUUAGUGUGGAGUUUACUUGUGUUGUAGACAGAUACCCUCUCAACACAGUCUCCUGGUACAAGGGGGAUGAGAAGAUACAAGACUACGACAACAGGAAAGAUAUGACAAAGGAGGAGAAGGACCUGUUUGUGGAGUACAAAUUGUCAGUAUCGAGUGUAACGGAAGAAGAUAUGGGACCGUACCACUGUAAGGUGGAGUACCCGCAGGGCGAUCAAAUAUCUCAACCUGCUUACCUUCAAAUAAGAGAACCAGCGCAGAUAACUCUGAUAGUAGCAACUGGUGGAGACAAAGCAGGAGAGAGUAUAGAGCUGCUCUGUCAGGCCUCAGGAGUUCCCAAACCAACCAUCACCUGGAGACGGUCAGGCAAGGAGUUCCCUAGCGACGAAACAAGUUCAGUAGUAACGAUAUACAACGAGCCGGGAAGUAGUCUGGUGCUGAUAAACAUCACUACCAGUGAUGAUCAAGGUAUCUACUCGUGUGUUGCUAGUAAUGGUGUCGGGGAACCUGUUAUCAUGGAAACUGAACUCGUACUUGAGUCAGCAGUAAAAGUAGUGACAGUAGCAAGUGCCAGCAGUCUGCUAGUAUUUAUAAUAGCAGUCUGCACGGCUGUCAUGUUGUUCGCACUCUACCGGAGGAGGAAGCGGAAGAACGCGCUCCACCCAGAAGAAGAUAAGAUACCACCUCCAACUCCUGUAGAAGAUUCAGAGCGAGACCUUGAGAACCACGUCUACGAUAACGAGGCAUACCAGGUAGCCGGAACCAGCAAUGAACCUCCUCCAGUUCGUAUCUAUCCUUUCAGAGCCAUGUCUAGCUCCGCUCAUCAGUAACUCUAUAGUCGGGGCUGCAUUAUAGUUAUAUCCUUCAUUAUUUGUUUAGCUAAAGAAGCAUGUAUUUGAAAUUAAUAUUUAGUUUUUAGCAUUUGAAUUUUAAAACUUAAUUUUAUGUAGAAUCUACAUUGUACUAUUGUAGAUGGUUUAUUUGACAAUUGAUAUGAAGUAAAUUCCGAGAUAUAAUUAUAAUAUUGGACUAUUUUAUAACUGCCGUAUAUACACAUAUAACAGUUAUAUUAAACUUUGUGACCGGUUUAUCUGAUCUCUCUAUAAUUUAAACAUACGUUUAGAUAGAGGAAUUCUCAUGCUCUUUCUAGAAAAUAGUUCUCUUAAAACCUCCUCUUUUUGAAGUAAGCCCCAAACUGACAUCCUUUUCAUGUAUCUUUUAGCGCACAUCCUUACGAACUUUACCAUAACAAGCUGAAAACGCGUUUGCAGCUUAUCUCUUUGUUAGAAUAUUUCUUUGAUCCUACAAAACAACUUCAAGCUAAAUUCUUUUCAAAACAAGCUAAGUACUUUGAAUUCUAUGAAGUAGAGAAGAGUUGAACUAGAAUCCUGCAAGCACCGCAUCUCCUUCUUAUCCCGUGCUCGUGAAGCACUGUUUAAACGUUAACCACGUGCAGUGCGCGUAUGUCACGUGCAAUGUACGUGGUCCGUAUAUAACACGUGCUGUGACGUGGCUUGUACUGCACGUGCACGUGCUACCACACGUGCACAUCCAGUGCCCGUGCAGUGACGAGCCCGUCGAGUUUUAAAACGGAACUUCAUACCAUAUUCCGGGCUAACAAGUAGAUCUGCCUGCAGGAUUCGACCGCCAGUACAGUUUGCGCUCACUAAAGCUUCUGCUAAAAUUCAUAGAUGAAAAGAAAGAACAUUUUAAGUAAUUAGGUCAAGAUCACAAUGCGAAAUAUUAAACUCAUUCAAGGACAGUGAACAGACGAAAGUGAAUUGAAGAAUUUUUAACAGUUUUUAUUUGAGUUGUAUUAACGGCUAUUAUAUAUCAGAUUUGCAUGAAUGAAUGUGUACGAAGAAUUUGCUAAAAAUUUUGAUUGAUUUUGCGAUAAAACUACUACACAAUCAAUUUAAGAGUUUUAUAACGAAAAUUUUAAGGAGAACUCUUUAAUUUCUUUACUUCUCAUUGGAUUUUAAUAGAGUGCAAAAUAAUUAAGAUUUAUUUUAAUCCAUCAUCAGACCAUCAUGGUUUGUUAAAUCAUUUGUCAGAUUUGCCAAGAAAAUUUUAUUAUUUCAUUAACCACUGUGUUAUUUGUUUAGAUACACUGAUUUAUUGUUAAUUAGCUGAUAUCCUAAUUUAUAACGGAGUAACUAACUGGCAUGUCAGCAGCUGUGUGUGAUAUGUCAGCAUUUAAAUCUGGGUUGUACUCAAUUAUCAGUAAAAUGGUAAUUUGUCUUCGGGUCAUUAAUCGGGUGGAUGGUAAUGAUGAGAAAUCCUGACGGUGCAACCAUCGGUCCAUAUUCGGAGAAGUUAAAUCGUGUGAGGACGAAGAUAUGGACUACGAGAGUGGUAUAGAAUGUGAUGACGAUAUCCCGACUGUGGAACCACCAGAUGAGAAUCCUGCUCUAUUCCUGAUGCCGGAUAGAACUAGUAAAGAACUUCCCCCUCUUAACAGAGUUCCCUCAGCCUCCUUAAGUGAGAACCCCAUAUUCUCUGUACCGAAAGUUUCCAGCCGGAACAAACAGCUUCCUUCACUUGACAGAACUAGAAACCUUCCUCCUCUCCCUUCAAGUAUCUACGAGAACGAGUUCAACAUCAACAGUGACAGUUCAGGUUACUCUCAAAAAGCGGGUCUGAUCGAGGAUGAUGAGAGAACUAUCGGGCUACUCCCAAACCAUUUUAAUGAACCGCAUAGCUCCUCCCCCUGCCCUAGCGGUUACAUGAGCGGAACGGAUCUGACGAGCAGUGGUGGUCUCCCCGCCGUGGACGAGAGAACUGAGCCAACGAGACGACUCUCACUGCUGGCCACAACUAAUAAUGUUAGAGAAAGUCCUGACCCACACGUGCCGUCUAAUUUUGAUUGAGAAAAGCUUGCUAAAGGUUACAGUUCAGACUGGUAAUAAAAGCCGAUUCAUAGAUCCUGAGAUGUAGAGUCUGAGAUGUAUUUUUAUUUUUCAGAUGAGAAAGAAAAAUAUUGGACAACAAUGUUUUUAAUACUGUGAAUACUGAUACUCUCAAAAGCAAUAAUGAGUAAUAUGUAUACUGAGACUGGAUUAUGUUGAUUAAGACUGGGUGCGGUUUUUAAAGAAUUUAUAUAUAGAAGUAGAUUUCACAGUGCACUUUUCAGCAAAAAUACAUUGGACGGGUAUUGACUUUUUUGAUACUAAAACUGUUA